AUUGAACGCUGGCGGUAUGCUUAACACAUGCAAGUCGAACGGUAACAGGCCUUCGGGCGCUGACGAGUGGCGGACGGUGAGUAACGCGUAGGAAUCUGCCUCAUAGUGGGGGACAACGUGGGGAAACUCACGCUAAUACCGCAUACGCCCUACGGGGGAAAGCGGGGGAUCUUCGGACCUCGCGCUAUGAGAUGAGCCUGCGUUAGAUUAGCUAGUUGGUAGGGUAAAGGCCUACCAAGGCGACGAUCUAUAGCUGGUCUGAGAGGACGAUCAGCCACACUGGGACUGAGACACGGCCCAGACUCCUACGGGAGGCAGCAGUGGGGAAUAUUGGACAAUGGGCGCAAGCCUGAUCCAGCAAUACCGCGUGUGUGAAGAAGGCCUUAGGGUUGUAAAGCACUUUCAAUUGGGAGGAAAACCUGCCGGUCAAUACCCGGUAGCUUGACAUUACCUUUAGAAGAAGCACCGGCUAACUCCGUGCCAGCAGCCGCGGUAA
rnacentral:rRNA from 1 species